rnacentral:rRNA from 1 species
AGAUAAGCUUCAGUGCUUUUUCUGCCAGAGCAUCGGUUAUCGGACUAGCAUUUACACUUAUAUAAGCUUCAAGCGCGUGAACGAAUGCGUCUAUACCGCUUGCUGCUGUAAUGGACUGUGGGCAUGUUUUUGUCAUCUCAGGUGCAACAAUAGCUACAUCGGGUAAUAGGCAGGGGCUAACAAUGCCUUUUUUCAUUUGUGCUAUCGGGUCUGACAAGAUAGCAAUGUUGGUAACUUCUGAACCUGUACCAGCGGUAGUAGGGAUAACAAUAAGAGGCAAGCGACGUUUCGAAAGCGUAUUUUCACCGAAGAGUUCACUGAGGGGGCCUGCAUGAUCGUAGGUAGCUGCAAGUACUUUUGCGCUAUCAAUAGCGCUACCUCCACCAAGAGCAAUAAUUCCGUCUACUUGCUUCUCUCUAAGUACCGCUAACUUAUCUUCUAUGAUAUUCACUUCAGGCUCUGGUGGAAUGUCGUCAAUAAUAAGUAAAGGUGAAUAGGGUAACAGAGUGAGUAGUUGGUCAAGCAAACCAGAUGAAGAAACGCCUUUGUCAGUAACGAUGGCACAGUCCUUUAUGGAUAAUCUCGCCAUUUCAUCAGUGAGGGCUUUUAUAGCCCCAAGACCGGUUAUGAGUUUUCCAGCAGUUUUGAAUUCUGAAACUUUCAUAUAAACACUCGUAAAGGCAAUGAGAAAUUCAAAUAGUGAUACUUAAACUUAUAGUACACGGUGAGACUUUCCAAUUAUCUAACCUUAUAGAAUGCUAAAAGUGAGCGUGAUUAGUGGUUUUUAUGAACGUAUUGCACAUUGUUUAUGCAAACGAUCGAAAAAUAAGGAUUUUUUUAAAAUACUUGUUGACGUGAGCGCUCAUUUCCCUAAAAUGCGCAUCCGCUUCGGGGGAAAAGCAAAACAGCAAGCCUCCUGAAGUAAGUCUCUACUACCUUUAUAGGCCAGUAAAGACGGGAGUUUAGAAGAAGCGCUUCAGAAAAUAAACUUUCAAAAAGUGUUGACAACGAAAACUUCCAGCGUAUAAUGCGCACCUCACUCGAACAGGGUGAGUCACUAAGAAGCAAAGCUUCUAGUGAAUUGCGACGAAGUCGCAACGUUCUUUAAAAAUUUAGACAAGACAAUCUGUGUGGGCCAUCACUAAGUGCCUUUAGUGAUGUGACUCACAAAGUGCUAACCCUUGAUAUAACGAUUAACGUUGACCUGCAAAGCAGCCAACGGUAAACCGCGAAAAUCAAGCAGGGUGCUUAGUGAUGGGGUGACUGCGUACCUUUUGUAUAAUGGGUCAGCGACUUGGUUUAAACAACGUUUAAGUGCAGUAAACUGAAGGCUUGUAGCUCGGAUGGUUGCAGCCCUGCCCUCGAAUAAGAGCGGUGAGGUCACAACGCCGACCGCCUCGCAAAAUAGGCUUGUAGCUCAGCUGGUUAGAGCGCACCCCUGAUAAGGAAUUUUAGGUAAAUCCGGAAUUCUAAGGCCGAGACACGAGACGAGCUCCCAAGGGAGUGAAGUUGUUGAUGCCCUGCUUCCAGGAAAAGCUUCUAAACUUAUGAUUAUAUGAACCGUACCCCAAACCGACACAGGUGGUCAGGUAGAGAAUACUAAGGCGCUUGAGAGAACUCGGGUGAAGGAACUCGGCAAAAUUGUACCGUAACUUCGGGAGAAGGUACGCCUCUGUUUGUGAACACUUCGCGUGGUAAGCAAGUGGAGGCCGCAGUGACCAGGUGGCUGGGACUGUUUAUUAAAAACACAGCACUCUGCAAACUCGUAAGAGGACGUAUAGGGUGUGACACCUGCCCGGUGCCGGAAGGUUAAUUGAUGGGGUUAGUUUUCGGACGAAGCUCUUGAUCGAAGCCCCGGUAAACGGCGGCCGUAACUAUAACGGUCCUAAGGUAGCGAAAUUCCUUGUCGGGUAAGUUCCGACCUGCACGAAUGGUGUAACCAUGGCCACGCUGUCUCCACCCGAGACUCAGUGAAAUUGAAAUCGCAGUGAAGAUGCUGUGUACCCGCACCUAGACGGAAAGACCCCGUGAACCUUUACUACAGCUUGGCACUGAACAUUGAACCUACAUGUGUAGGAUAGGUGGGAGGCUUUGAAGCACAGUCGCUAGAUUGUGUGGAGCCGUCCUUGAAAUACCACCCUUGUAUGUUUGAUGUUCUAACAUUGGUCCCUAAUCGGGAUUGUGGACAGUGUCUGGUGGGUAGUUUGACUGGGGCGGUCUCCUCCCAAAUAGUAACGGAGGAGCACGAAGGUUAGCUAAUCACGGUCGGACAUCGUGAGGUUAGUGCAAUGGCAUAAGCUAGCUUAACUGCGAGACAGACACGUCGAGCAGGUACGAAAGUAGGUCAUAGUGAUCCGGUGGUUCUGUAUGGAAGGGCCAUCGCUCAACGGAUAAAAGGUACUCCGGGGAUAACAGGCUGAUACCGCCCAAGAGUUCAUAUCGACGGCGGUGUUUGGCACCUCGAUGUCGGCUCAUCACAUCCUGGGGCUGAAGUCGGUCCCAAGGGUAUGGCUGUUCGCCAUUUAAAGUGGUACGCGAGCUGGGUUUAGAACGUCGUGAGACAGUUCGGUCCCUAUCUGGUGUGGGCGUUGGAUGAUUGAUGGGAGCUGCUCCUAGUACGAGAGGACCGGAGUGGACGAACCGCUGGUGUUCGGGUUGUCAUGCCAAUGGCAUUGCCCGGUAGCUAUGUUCGGAACGGAUAACCGCUGAAAGCAUCUAAGCGGGAAGCCGGCCCAAAGAUGAGUCAUCCCUGAACUUUAAGUUCUGGAAGGGUUGUUAUAGACGAUGACGUUGAUAGGCAGGGUGUGGAAGCGUUGUAAGGCGUUAAGCUAACCUGUACUAAUUGCCCGAGAGGCUUAACC